UCGGCUUAGAUUCCUAUAACAAAGACUGAGCUGUGAUGAGCAGAAAUUUAUCCCCUGGGCUUCGGGUAGUGAGGAAGACCAAUAUUAGGACACUAGCAGAUUGUGUUUGUGACAAGACCUCUUUUCUGGUUCACUUUCUUGCUGCAUCCUCACACAGUGAAAGAGAUGAUGCUAAGUGUUUGUUUCAAACACCAAGGUUGAGAGGCUUCUGAUCUUGGCCAGUGCAUUAAAGAAUUCACGAUAUAAAAUCAUAAAGAAAAAAAAUAACUUUAAAAACUGAAUCACUUGGAAUACAGUAAUCACGAUGGCUUGGGAGAACAUAACCCUAAAUGGUCACAUCUGUGAGAAAUGCCAUUUUGAAAUUGGGGUAACACUUCACCACAUCAGUCUUUGAAAUAAAGAAUUUCUGAACAUUGAGAACAUUUGUGCAUUGUGUUGCUGCCUAUAUUACAAAAUGCACUUCAGUGAAGUGUGAAGACAAUUCGAGCAGCAGAAACAUUAAGGUAAGAGAAAAGACAAAUUAAUUAACUUGUCAAAUCCUUUUUCUCAGCAUGAAUGC